rnacentral:ribozyme from 1 species
GCGGGCCUUGGAAAAGAACCGCGUCCUAAUGCGGCCCGCUGGCGUGCGCCAGCGGACGGUGACAAGCCCGUGCGAACGCAGAGUCAGGAU